rnacentral:rRNA from 1 species
AUAUCAAUAAGCGGAGGAAAAGAAACCAACAGGGAUUGCCUUAGUAACGGCGAGUGAAGCGGCAACAGCUCAAAUUUGAAAUCUGACCUUCUGGUCCGAAUUGUAAUUUGUAGAGGCGGCUUCGAGCGUGGUCUGGUCUAAGUUCCUUGGAACAGGACGUCAUAGAGGGUGAGAAUCCCGUAUGUGACCGGGUGCCUAAGCUCUUGUGAAGCUCCUUCGACGAGUCGAGUUGUUUGGGAAUGCAGCUCAAAAUGGGUGGUAAAUUUCAUCUAAAGCUAAAUACUGGCCAGAGACCGAUAGCGCACAAGUA